CGCGUGGGAAUCUGCCUGGUAGCGGGGGAUAACAUGGAGAAAUUCAUGCUAAUACCGCAUACGCCCUACCGGGGAAAGGAGGGAAUCUUCGGACCUUCCACUAUCAGAUGAGCCCGCGUCGGAUUAGCUUGUUGGUGAGGUAAUGGCUCACCAAGGCGACGAUCCGUAGCUGGUCUGAGAGGAUGAUCAGCCACACUGGGACUGAGACACGGCCCAGACUCCUACGGGAGGCAGCAGUGGGGAAUAUUGGACAAUGGGCGAAAGCCUGAUCCAGCAAUACCGCGUGUGUGAAGAAGGCCU
rnacentral:rRNA from 1 species